UAAUUGAAACUAGUAUUUAGUAACCAUCAUAACAUUGUGUCCAAAGAAAAAACAUAAUAACGAAGAUCUUAUCCAAUCACAGUACAUAACUUCAAAAGCAAACCAAAAUUGAUCAGAAUUUCACCAUACAGAAAUCAGAAUUACUUUCAACAUAGAUGAUAAGAUCUCUAUACUACGAAAGUCAUUCAAAUCUCACAUUCCAGUAAAAGCCUUCUUUCCUGCACCACUAGAUGACCCAGCUGGGAUCACUUUCAACACGUUGAACCUCACUGUCUUGGAGAGUGGCCUAAAGAAGUUGCACAAAUAAAGGUAAUUUAGAAAGACAUAGUUACCAACAUCGAUAUAAUAAUAAUAUAAUGAAAUAACAGUAUCUUCUACAGAAAAAAAAAGAAAGAAUUCUCCUGUAAAGUCUCACCUGCAUUGUCCGAUAAUAACAUGGUCUCCUUCCUUGACACGGAAGCAAGGUGAUACAUGAGCUGGAAUGUUUGAAUGCCUCUUCUCAUACCUAAACAGAGGAGUAAGGAAAAAAAAAAAAAGGAAUUAUAAAUUAUGUUUCUAAGUGUGCAAAUAAAAAAUGGGGACCAUAGUAUGAAAGGAAAUCAAUACCUCUGAUACUUCUUAAUAAAGUGAAGAUAAUUCCUCCUGACAAUAAUAGUCCUAUUCAUUUUAGCACUAUGGCAAGUUCCGGCUAAGAUACGACCUCGGAUAGAAACAUUGCCGGUGAAUGGACACUUCUUGUCAAUGUAGGUACCUGUAUUUAAAAAAAAAACACCAUUUCUGUAUUAGAAGUAGAAAUAAAAUAACUGUAACCAUACCCAGCUAUUGACAAUGCUCUACUUCUAGCUAAUAAAAAUUUCACUUUCAAAGUAACGGGACUUGAGAACAUUAUACUGUUUGCAAUUUACAAGUAUUUCCUUCCCAACAACACUUGCAUGGCACAAUAUAGGAGCAUUUACAUUUGUACAUUGUAUAGAUCAAUUCUUUCAAAUGAAUAUCAGAACAUAACCAUAACCAAUAACUACAUGCCUCAAAAUAUUGAUAUUGAUUAGAAAAGUUUAUCUAGGAACACAAUAGGCAAUUCCAUUUAUUUAUCAUAACAGCCACUAGAAUAAGUAUUGGGAAUCUCUAAACACAACAUAGCCACUAUUAUUUACAAACACAAUAGGCACUUCAAUUUAUCAUAUAAAUAUCCAGUAUCCAAACUAAGUAGAAUAAGUAUUGUGAAUCUCAGACAAACACAUACAAGCGGAAUCUCAGACAAACAAACACCAACACAAAGCUAGCCAUUAAGCUAGUAUCAAAACAUAAAUAAAUAUAGAAGAGGAGCUAUGAACACUCUCUAACACUCACUCUCUUAUUGGGUGAAACCCAUGUAGGUCUCGCAUUUUGGAAAGGAUCCCACAUAAAGUGGUGCAUCAACUAUGCAAAAAAAUAAUAUUCUUCACCCAAAUAAAAGAGGAGUGUCAAGAGAGUGUUUCAAGCAUUUUCCAAUAUAUAAUUGUAAUGAAGCAUCAACUAUACACAAAAUAAUAUUCUUCUCCAAUGUUUCCAUCCUUCUCUACUUGUGCUUUGCAUAGUGCCAUUAAACUUUUGCUUCUUCAUUUUUUUUAUAUAUCUGCAAAAAGUGCAUCUGUCACCACAUUCCAACGACUACAUUGUUAGUUAAAAAGCCGUUUCACUCUCCCGAAUGUGAGGCUCUAUCACUUUUAGUCCAUGGUUAAAUCAAAAUUACAAGCGCAUCCCCAAGUGUCACUUUUGUUACUAAGUUUUAUGAACUAAAUUGACCAAUAAAAAAUACAUUCGAGGACUAAAGACACAUUCGAGAAUCAAAAUGCUGCUUACCCCUACAUUCUUAGGUAUACCUUUAGAAAUUCAUUUGCAAAACAUCCUAAAAUUAAACAUUGUUACUAUUAUGAUUGAGAUGAGAAAAGCCAUAUAACAGUACCUUCAGUGGCUUCUCUGGGAGUCUUGAAUCCAAGACCAACUGAUUUCCAGAAGCGGUUUCCACCUUUUCCAGGCCUCUUCCCCUUACCAGAUUUCUUCGAACUGUAACAACAUUGAACAAAAUAUGCAUCAACAAUCAUUCAUCAAAAUCACAAUAAAAUAAAAAACAGAAAUUGGGAGCAUUGAAUAUACCAUAGAAACACUUUGGGUUGCUUGAGAAAAGCCUUCUCAGUCUGU
rnacentral:lncRNA from 1 species